ensembl:lncRNA
AUCUUUUUUAAAGGUUGAUAACGAUGGGAAAUAUUUACACUAAACUAAUUUUUUUUUUUGAGACAUCAAAUAUGACUUAUAAAGAAAAUAAAUAUUAUGAAAAAGUGCUAAAAAUUCCAUACUUUUCUUCUAAUUUUAAAUCAAAGAAAAAUUUUGAUUAUAUUUUAGAAAAAUUAAAACCUACAUUCGAUGGUAUGCUAAUCAAAGAAGGGAAAAUUUAUUAUAAUAAUGUCAACAACAGAAAUGUAACUUAUACAUCACCUUGUUAUAUUUUAAUUUGGGAUUCUGAUCGUCGUAUUUUUAGCCGAGGUCUCGGGUUUUAUAUUGGAUCUGGAGUUAUAAUUACAGCCAAACAUGUUUUAAAGGCAUACAAAAAUAAAAACGUAUUUGUUCUUUUCCCAAAUAAAAUGUUUUAUUUAGCCUACAGUAUUAAUACUGAUAACAUCUAUUUUGACAAUGAUUAUGAUAUUGCUAGAGUUAAAUUGGAAAUCAGUUUUGAUAAACUACCAAAUAUAAAACCUGUAGAAAUAGACUUGAAUAGAAAUGAAAACAAAAAUCUUUAUUUUUACAAACUAAAAGCAGGGCGUUUUGUUAAAGUGAAAUGUAAAAAAACUAAAGAAUUAAAUCUUAAAGAAUUUACUCUUUCUAAAACGGGAAAUGAUGGAGAUAGCGGGACCCCUAUUUUUACAAGUUCUGGUAAAUGUGUUGCAAUGUAUAUUGGUGCAUUUACAAAAACAAACAGAAAAUGUAUACUUGGCAUAGGUUUACAAUUUGAUAGUUCUUUAAAGACAUCUCUUCAUUGAAUUUUCCUCUGUAGUUUAUAAUAUUCUAAUGCUUUAAAAAAAAAAAAAAAAAUCUCUUUUUCAUCACUGUUUCUCAACCCUGCUCCAAUUUCCCAAGCUCACUAAUGAGCUGGCUAAUUUUAUAGUGAGCGGGGAAGCAAAAAACAGGGUCACCAGGGGCAGGAUUGAGAAACACUGUAUCCCAUCAACAUAAAUUUGGAAGUGCAAAAAUGCUGUAACACAAUUGGCAUGGUUACAGUACCAUAAAGUGCUAAAUAUUUCCCAUUGUUUGGCUGUCUGGAGAGGAUCUUGUGCCUUGCCCAAAACAAAAUCUUGUGUCUUGUCGGUAUGGAGCUGGACUAUUGUUACAGAUGUUGCAGGAGCAGCUCUGAAAGUCAUCUGUUUCAAGAUCAAAAGAGACGCAACAAUAUGUUGAAACAGGGCAUAGUAAGCACAACACCCUUACGCCAUUGCUCGGUGUCAUGUUGAACCACCUUUGGAUGACACGCGUCACUUUUGGGUCAAAAGAUAUUCCUCAUGAUAUUGAAGAUAUUUCUAUUCCUCAUGAUAUUGAAGAUAUUUCUAUUCCUCAUGAUAUUGAAGAUAUUUCUAUUCCUCAUGAUAUUGAAAAUAUUCAUCAUGAUACUGAAGAUAUUCCUCAUGAAGUUAUUCCUCAUGAAGUUACUUUCUAAAUAAACAAAAUGAGAUUCUAAAUAAAUGUACAAAAAAAUUUUUUUCACUUUUUUCCCCCCAAACCUUAAGAAUCCUUUACAUCAAAUCUUAGCCCUAAGCAUCUAUCUUUCCCAAAAUCCAUAAUUAGAGCUGUCUCCUGUCCUCCAAAAUGUUCUUUGGUGCCU